AUGCCAUAGUGUGGGCAUUUCCUUAACAGCUCUUUAAACCUCUCUCUUGCAUUAGGAACAAUUUCAUCGUCCAUUUGUUUAAAAAGACAUAUUUCAUUUAUGGACUU